rnacentral:rRNA from 1 species
CGGUAAUACGGAGGAUCCAAGCGUUAUCCGGAAUCAUUGGGUUUAAAGGGUCCGUAGGCGGUUUAGUAAGUCAGUGGUGAAAGCCCAUCGCUCAACGGUGGAACGGCCAUUGAUACUGCUAAACUUGAAUUAUUAGGAAGUAACUAGAAUAUGUAGUGUAGCGGUGAAAUGCUUAGAGAUUACAUGGAAUACCAAUUGCGAAGGCAGGUUACUACUAAUGGAUUGACGCUGAUGGACGAAAGCGUGGGUAGCGAACAGGAUUAGAUACCCUGGUAGUCCACGCCGUAAACGAUGGAUACUAGCUGUUGGAAGCAAUUUCAGUGGCUAAGCGAAAGUGAUAAGUAUCCCACCUGGGGAGUACGUUCGCAAGAAUGAA